rnacentral:rRNA from 1 species
UACGUAGGGGGGCUAGCGUUGUCCGGAGUCAUUGGGCGUAAAGAGCGCGUAGGCGGCUAGAUAAGUCCGGUGUGAAAGUCACAGGCUCAACCUGUGAAUGCCGCUGGAAAACUGUCUGGCUAGAGUCCGGAAGGGGCGAGUGGAAUUCCUGGUGUAGCGGUGAAAUGCGCAGAUAUCAGGAGGAACACCGGUGGCGAAGGCGGAUCUCUGGGCCUUACCUGACGCUCAGGUGCGAAAGCUAGGGGAGCGAACAGG